GAUAAACGCUGGCGGCGUGCCUAAUACAUGCAAGUCGAGCGAACGGACGAGAAGCUUGCUUUUCUGAUGUUAGCGGCGGACGGGUGAGUAACACGUGGAUAACCUACCUAUAAGACUGGGAUAACUUCGGGAAACCGGAGCUAAUACCGGAUAAUAUUUUGAACCGCAUGGUUCAAAAGUGAAAGACGGUCUUGCUGUCACUUAUAGAUGGAUCCGCGCUGCAUUAGCUAGUUGGUAAGGUAACGGCUUACCAAGGCAACGAUGCAUAGCCGACCUGAGAGGGUGAUCGGCCACACUGGAACUGAGACACGGUCCAGACUCCUACGGGAGGCAGCAGUAGGGAAUCUUCCGCAAUGGGCGAAAGCCUGACGGAGCAACGCCGCGUGAGUGAUGAAGGUCUUCGGAUCGUAAAACUCUGUUAUUAGGGAAGAACAUAUGUGUAAGUAACUGUGCACAUCUUGACGGUACCUAAUCAGAAAGCCACGGCUAACUACGUG
rnacentral:rRNA from 1 species